UACACCACAUGAGAUAUGACAUGGUGAGAACUGAAUCUUGGUUAUUCUGAGAUUCAAAGAUGUCCGGUCUGUGUUUAGCACAGUAGGUGGAUAUGUUAGAGGUAGGUCUAUCAAGCUCAUCCUAAAAGAGUUUUGGAUACUACUUUCUGAAAGGAUCACAAUGUGAUUGUGACCCAUUGCUAUCUUCUUGAAAAAAUUAUUUAACUAAGGUAAAGCAGUGGGAGGAAAGUUAAGCUCAAAGAGAGUGUCUCUGAAGAGCAGCGAGCCUUGGGACCUUAAGAACCUAUGAGCCAGUAGACGUAUAUUCCUCCACCUCAUAUAUAUACAGUAGCAUCUCCUAUCCUCUCAAAAGGUACUUGGGUAUGCUUGACAUAGGAUGUCGAGAAAGUCGUUUCUCAUGGG
rnacentral:lncRNA from 1 species